UAUCAUUAACUGAAUCCAUAGGUUAAUGAGGCGAACCGGGGGAACUGAAACAUCUAAGUACCCCGAGGAAAAGAAAUCAACCGAGAUUCCCCCAGUAGCGGCGAGCGAACGGGGAGGAGCCCAGAGCCUGAAUCAGCAUGUGUGUUAGUGGAAGCGUCUGGAAAGGCGCGCGAUACAGGGUGACAGCCCCGUACACAAAAGCGCAUGUGCUGUGAGCUCGAUGAGUAGGGCGGGACACGUGGUAUCCUGUCUGAAUAUGGGGGGACCAUCCUCCAAGGCUAAAUACUCCUGACUGACCGAUAGUGAACCAGUACCGUGAGGGAAAGGCGAAAAGAACCCCGGCGAGGGGAGUGAAAAAGAACCUGAAACCGUGUACGUACAAGCAGUGGGAGCACAGGUUUACCUGUGUGACUGCGUACCUUUUGUAUAAUGGGUCAGCGACUUAUAUUCUGUAGCAAGGUUAACCGUAUAGGGGAGCCGUAGGGAAACCGAGUCUUAAC
rnacentral:rRNA from 1 species